rnacentral:misc_RNA from 1 species
GAAAUGCGAUAAGUAAUGUGAAUUGCAGAAUUCAGUGAAUCAUCGAAUCUUUGAACGCACCUUGCGCUCCUUGGUAUUCCUUGGAGCAUGCCUGUUUGAGUAUCAUGAAAUCUUCAAAGUAAAUCUUUUGUUAACUCAAUUGGUUUCUACUUUGGUAUUGGAGGUCUUUGCAGCUCCACACCUGCUCCUCUUUGUUCAUUAGCUGGAUCUCAGUGUUAUGCUUGGUUCCACUCGGCGUGAUUAGUUAUCUAUCGCUGAGGACACUGUAAAAGGUGGCCAAGGUAAAUGCAGAUGAACCGCUUCUAAUAGUCCAUUGACUUGGACAAUACUUUUAUGAUCUGAUCUCAAAUCAGGUAGGACUACCCGCUGAACUUAAGC